UGUAAGCGUAUACCAAAGUUGUUGCAGUUGAAACGCUCGUAGUCGGAAUUUGGCAGUUCCGGAUGUGCGCACGUCGUGUGCGCACUUCGCGGGGAUUGCUUUUGUGGUCUUGCGUAGGAUGAGGCACUUUUAUUAGUGAACGUCCUCACGCAACCACUUUUUACUGUGAGAAAUCAGAGUGCUCAAAGCAGGCAUUUGCCGUGAAUGUAUUAGCAUGGAAUAAUAGAAUAGGACUUGGUUCUAUUUUGUUGGUUUGUUGGGACUGAGUAAUGAUUAAGAGGGACAGUUGGGGGCAUUUGUAUUUCGGUGCUAGAGGUGAAAUUCUUAGAUUACCGAAAGACAAACUGCUGCGAAAGCGUCUGCCAAGGAUGUUUUCAUUGA
rnacentral:rRNA from 1 species